AUUGAACGCUGGCGGCAGGCUUAACACAUGCAAGUCGAGCGGAGAUGAGGUGCUUGCACCUUAUCUUAGCGGCGGACGGGUGAGUAAUGCCUAGGAAUCUGCCUGGUAGUUGGGGACGACGUUUCGAAAGGAACGCUAAUACCGCAUACGUUCUACGGGAGAAAGCAAGGGACCUUCGGGACUUGCGCUAUCAGAUGAUCCUAGGUCGGAUUAGCUAGUUGGUGAGGUAAUGGCUCACCAAGGCGACGAUCCGUAACUGGUCUGAGAGGAUGAUCAGUCACACUGGAACUGAGACACGGUCCAGACUCCUACGGGAGGCAGCAGUGGGGAAUAUUGGACAAUGGGCGAAAGCCUGAUCCAGCCAUGCCGCGUGUGUGAAGAAGGUCUUCGGAUUGUAAAGCACUUUAAGUUGGGAGGAAGGGUUGUAGAUUAAUACUCUGCAAUUUUGACGUUACCGACAGAAUAAGCACCGGCUAACUCUGUGCCAGCCGCCGCCGUAACAC
rnacentral:rRNA from 1 species